CCUACGGGAGGCAGCAGUGGGGGAUAUUGCACAAUGGGGGGAACCCUGAUGCAGCGACGCCGCGUGGGUGAAGAAGCGCCUCGGCGCGUAAAGCCCUGUCAGCAGGGAAGAACAUGACGGUACCUGAAGAAGAACCUCCGGCCAACUACGUGCCAGCAGCCGCCGUAAUACGGAGGGGGCAAGCGGUAUCCGGAUUUACUGGGUGAAACGGGGGCGCAGACGGCGUUGCAAGCCAGGAGUGAACGCCCGGGGCCCAACCCCGGGACGGCUCUGGAAACUGCGUGGCUGGAGUGCAGGAGGGGAAGGCGGAAUUCCAGGUGUAGCGGUGAAAUGCGUAGAGAUCAGGAGGAACACCAGUGGCGAAGGCGGCCUGCUGGUCUGCAACUGACGUUGAGGCGCGAAAGCGUGGGGAGCAAACAGGAUUAGAUACCCGAGUAGUC
rnacentral:rRNA from 1 species